rnacentral:sRNA from 1 species
UCUGGGUUUGCAGAAGAGGUGGAAUGGAGGGGUGGCAACAAAAAUUGGAAUUUGCAUCUUUGAUGUGGCCCAGCUGUGAGAUACAGUAAGUUCAAGAUGUCAGAGGCCAGGCCGCCUCCCCUGCUCGGGCAGCACACAACGCACAUCCUGAAGGAGGUCCUGAGAUACGAUGACAGGGCCAUCGGGGAGCUGCUCAGUGCUGGAGUGGUGGACCAACAUGAAACUCACUGACAAAGGAAAAGGGCUCUUCCUCAUAACCUCGAUCCGAAUACACUGGCAAAGGCAACGCUUUGCUUGGACCCUUCUCCCCAGUUCUGAUACCACUAAAAAGAAGAUUUAGAGUAACUCCAGAUUUCUUACAUGGCAUCUCCAGAAUGGCUCUGGUAUUAAUGAAUCUAGUGCCUUUUAAAUGUAUCCCAUGUUUUGUUCCCUACCAUCUUUUUUUUCAGAUGAUGAUUUCAUUAUGGAUUUGUGGGAUUUUUAAAAAUAAAGAUUUAAUUUUUUUCCUG